rnacentral:rRNA from 1 species
AACGUAGGUGGCAAGCGUUAUCCGGAAUCACUGGGCGUAAAGGGUGUGUAGGCUGCGUGUUAAGUCAGAUGUGAAAUCCCGGGGCUCAACCUCGGAACUGCAUCCGAUACUGGCAUGCUAGAGAAUUGGAGAGGAGUCUAGAAUUCACGGUGUAGCAGUGAAAUGCGUAGAUAUCGUGAGGAAUACCAAGUGCGAAGGCAGGACUCUGGACAUUUUCUGACGCUGAGACACGAAGGCCAGGGGAGCAAACGGG